CUUCCUUUUUCAAUGGGGUUGAAUUAGCCUAGAUUGGGUUAGGCAUAUAGGUAGUUUGUGUUUCGCUUAUCACUCACCCGUAAACGAGGAGAACGAUGCUUUGAUUUGCUUGGGUGGUUGUUUAAGUUGUAAUGGCCGGGUUUUGCAUUGUGCCCACAAAGAGACAUUAAGAUAAGAAUCACCGGUCCGUCAUACGUUGAUCUGCGGCGAGCGAGCGACAAUCUGAUUGCAACGAGAAGGCAUGUUCCUCAGCAUGAUGCCGGUACCGAACGACUUGUUUUGGCAAGUAUUCUAGUGAAAAUGGAACGUAGUUCGUGCGUCACCAGCUGCGGUUGUGACCUGUUGUGACUAUAAGGUCCGGAUUAAUCCACCUAGAACUACUACGUGUUCUUUAGACGACUUCAGAAUAGCUUAUAUUGUGUCCUAAUGAAUGCUAACCAAUCUGGCUAUCAAUCAUCAA